UUAGAGUUUGAUCCUGGCUCAGGACGAACGCUGGCUGCGUGCUUAACACAUGCAAGUCGAACGCUGAAGCCGACAGCUUGCUGUUGGUGGAUGAGUGGCGAACGGGUGAGUAACACGUGAGUAACCUGCCCCCGAUUUCGGGAUAAGCCCGGGAAACUGGGUCUAAUACCGGAUACGACCACCUGACGCAUGUCGGGUGGUGGAAAGUUUUUCGAUCGGGGAUGGGCUCGCGGCCUAUCAGCUUGUUGGUGGGGUAAUGGCCCACCAAGGCGACGACGGGUAGCCGGCCUGAGAGGGCGACCGGCCACACUGGGACUGAGACACGGCCCAGACUCCUACGGGAGGCAGCAGUGGGGAAUAUUGCACAAUGGGGGAAACCCUGAUGCAGCGACGCAGCGUGCGGGAUGACGGCCUUCGGGUUGUAAACCGCUUUCAGCAGGGAAGAAGCGAAAGUGACGGUACCUGCAGAAGAAGUACCGGCUAACUACGUGCCAGCAGCCGCGGUAAUACGUAGGGUACGAGCGUUGUCCGGAAUUAUUGGGCGUAAAGAGCUCGUAGGUGGUUGGUCACGUCUGCUGUGGAAACGCA
rnacentral:rRNA from 1 species